GCCAAGAUAGCUCAGGUGGUAGAGCAUCAGACUUUUAACCUGAGGGUCCAGGGUUCAAGUCCCUGUUUGGGCG
rnacentral:tRNA from 1 species